GGAUUGGAGGAGAAAUUUAUCCCGGUCUAAGAUGAAGGUUUUGUGUGUUAUCAUUGUAUUCUGCUGCUCUUUUGGAAAUUCACAGCAACAAGUCAGUGGUCCUACAAGACAGACCACUAAAGUAUCAGCAUCAUCUACAGACAUGCAAAAGAGGUAUCCUACAACACCUAGGAAUGAGAAAAUAUACACAACAAAUGUAAUACAUGGGACAGGGCAAAGUUCAACCCCAAGUGAUGGAAAAACAACGGUGUCAGGAACAUCGGUUUCGGGAAAAAAUUUGGACAAAGAGAAUAAAAGCACAACUGGAUGGAAAAACAACGGUGUCAGGAACAUCGGUUUCGGGAAAAAACUUGGACAAAGAGAAUAAAAGCACAACUGCAAGCACGAGAGAAAAAACCUCUACCCCAAGUCCAGAAAGAACAAGAGAAGAUGAUGCAACCCCCAGUACAACAAAUACACUUAAACAGCCAAGUAUGAAAACUAUGGAAAAAACAUCUGCAACCUCUCCAUCUGCGACACCGUCAACAAUCCUCUC
rnacentral:lncRNA from 12 species